CUCAAUCUUCAGUCAUGCUCCGAUCACUCAUCACAUUCACUGUCUCUCUGUUCUCUUUUCCAGAAUUUUUACUUUGUAAUGAUGUCCAUCAGCUUCCUAAUGAGCGUUUGUGCCACCCUGAUGAUAAACCUGAGAUCAGCUGCAGCCAUAACAUUAAGAGCUACGAUACCAUCCUGUGGUACCAACAAAAAGAAGGAGACACGGCUAUGAAUCUCAUAGGCUAUAUUUCCUAUAAAGUCACCAAAAUCGUAGAGGAUCCCUGGA